GGUGCUUUGGCGGAGUGGUUAACGCGCGGGCCUGCUAUCUUGUAUCAUCGAUACAAUCUAUUAAGCCCGUUCCUUCGGGAGCGCAGGUUCGAAUCCUGCAGGCAUCG